rnacentral:rRNA from 1 species
AGAGUUUGAUCAUGGCUCAGAUUGAACGCUGGCGGCAGGCCUAACACAUGCAAGUCGAACGGUAACAGGAAGCAGCUUGCUGCUUUGCUGACGAGUGGCGGACGGGUGAGUAAUGUCUGGGAAACUGCCCGAUGGAGGGGGAUAACUACUGGAAACGGUAGCUAAUACCGCAUAACGUCGCAAGACCAAAGAGGGGGACCUUAGGGCCUCUUGCCAUCGGAUGUGCCCAGAUGGGAUUAGCUAGUAGGUGGGGUAAUGGCUCACCUAGGCGACGAUCCCUAGCUGGUCUGAGAGGAUGACCAGCCACACUGGAACUGAGACACGGUCCAGACUCCUACGGGAGGCAGCAGUGGGGAAUAUUGCACAAUGGGCGCAAGCCUGAUGCAGCCAUGCCGCGUGUAUGAAGAAGGCCUUCGGGUUGUAAAGUACUUUCAGCGGGGAGGAAGGGAGUAAAGUUAAUACCUUUGCUCAUUGACGUUACCCGCAGAAGAAGCACCGGCUAACUCCGUGCCAGCAGCCGCGGUAAUACGGAGGGUGCAAGCGUUAAUCGGAAUUACUGGGCGUAAAGCGCACGCAGGCGGUUUGUUAAGUCAGAUGUGAAAUCCCCGGGCUCAACCUGGGAACUGCAUCUGAUACUGGCAAGCUUGAGUCUCGUAGAGGGGGGUAGAAUUCUAGGUGUAGCGGUGAAAUGCGUAGAGAUCUGGAGGAAUACCGGUGGCGAAGGCGGCCCCCUGGACGAAGACUGACGCUCAGGUGCGAAAGCGUGGGGAGCAAACAGGAUUAGAUACCCUGGUAGUCCACGCCGUAAACGAUGUCGACUUGGAGGUUGUGCCCUUGAGGCGUGGCUUCCGGAGCUAACGCGUUAAGUCGACCGCCUGGGGAGUACGGCCGCAAGGUUAAAACUCAAAUGAAUUGACGGGGGCCCGCACAAGCGGUGGAGCAUGUGGUUUAAUUCGAUGCAACGCGAAGAACCUUACCUGGUCUUGACAUCCACGGAAGUUUUCAGAGAUGAGAAUGUGCCUUCGGGAACCGUGAGACAGGUGCUGCAUGGCUGUCGUCAGCUCGUGUUGUGAAAUGUUGGGUUAAGUCCCGCAACGAGCGCAACCCUUAUCCUUUGUUGCCAGCGGUCCGGCCGGGAACUCAAAGGAGACUGCCAGUGAUAAACUGGAGGAAGGUGGGGAUGACGUCAAGUCAUCAUGGCCCUUACGACCAGGGCUACACACGUGCUACAAUGGCGCAUACAAAGAGAAGCGACCUCGCGAGAGCAAGCGGACCUCAUAAAGUGCGUCGUAGUCCGGAUUGGAGUCUGCAACUCGACUCCAUGAAGUCGGAAUCGCUAGUAAUCGUGGAUCAGAAUGCCACGGUGAAUACGUUCCCGGGCCUUGUACACACCGCCCGUCACACCAUGGGAGUGGGUUGCAAAAGAAGUAGGUAGCUUAACCUUCGGGAGGGCGCUUACCACUUUGUGAUUCAUGACUGGGGUGAAGUCGUAACAAGGUAACCGUAGGGGAACCUGCGGUUGGAUCACCU